GACGAACGCUGGCGGCGUGCUUAACACAUGCAAGUCGAACGGAAAGGCCCUGCUUUUGUGGGGUGCUCGAGUGGCGAACGGGUGAGUAACACGUGAGUAACCUGCCCUUGACUUUGGGAUAACUUCAGGAAACUGGGGCUAAUACCGGAUAGGAGCUCCUGCUGCAUGGUGGGGGUUGGAAAGUUUCGGCGGUUGGGGAUGGACUCGCGGCUUAUCAGCUUGUUGGUGGGGUAGUGGCUUACCAAGGCUUUGACGGGUAGCCGGCCUGGGAGGGUGACCGGCCACAUUGGGACUGAGAUACGGCCCAGACUCCUACGGGAGGCAGCAGUGGGGAAUAUUGCACAAUGGGCGGAAGCCUGAUGCAGCAACGCCGCGUGCGGGAUGACGGCCUUCGGGUUGUAAACCGCUUUCGCCUGUGGCGAAGCGUGAGUGACGGUAAUGGGUAAAGAAGCACCGGCUAACUACGUG
rnacentral:rRNA from 1 species